rnacentral:tRNA from 1 species
GGACUGUGGCUCACAGGUAGAGCACUUGCCUCGCACAGGCAAGGCCCUGGGUUCAAUCCUCAGCACCA